GGAUAAGCGGUGUUUAGCCGCACGAGAUUGAGCGAUAACAGGUCUGUGAUGCCCUUAGAUGUCCGGGGCUGCACGCGCGCUACAAUGGAAGAAUCAGCUGGCCUAUCCAUUGCCGAAAGGUAUUGGUAAACCGUUGAAACUCUUCCGUGACCGGGAUAGGGAAUUGUAAUUAUUUCCCUUGAACGAGGAAUUCCUAGUAAGUGUGAGUCAUCAGCUCACGCUGAUUACGUCCCUGCCAUUUGUACACACCGCCCGUCGCUGUCCGGGACUGAGCUGUCUCGAGAGGACUGCGGACUACUGUAUUGAGGCCUUCGGGUCGCGAUAUGGCGGGAAACAGUUCAAUCGCAAUGGCUUGAACCGGGUAAAAGUCGUAACAAGGUAUCUGUAGGUGAACCUGCAGAUGGAUCAUCG
rnacentral:ncRNA from 1 species